UGUUCCGUGAUCCACAGCAGCAUCAGGUUGCUGAGCAUGAUUUGCCCACCACCAGAUGCCAGCAUUGAUCACAGAAUGGGAGCUCCACCCUCCUGGCCUUAGGAGUGGCCCCGGACCAGUGCCUGACCUGGCCACCUGCUGGAGCUGGGCCUGCACAGUUGAGAAUCUCAUUUGCUGUAUUCUGUGUUGCCCCUAAAAUAGGUGUACAGAACCUUUGGCCCACCAGCUUUUGGUGACUACAACUCCCAACAGCCCCAGCAAGGAUGACCAAUGGCCUGGGAUGGUGGAAGUUAUUGUUCAACAGCACCUCGAGGGCCAAAGGUUCCCCACACCUGCCUUAAAAUGAUAACGUCCCAAACAACUGUUGCUGCUCGCCUCCUGUUCCAUCAGUUGGAGUCCUGGAUGCGGAUCGUGGGGAAAAGCAGCCGGUGGUGGUGGGGAAGUUGUAGAAGUAAAAGAACAAACUGAUGAAGCACCCACCCCCCUGCCUGUUCUCAACUGCAAAUUGGGCUUUCCCAGCUUCGCGGGUUUUGGCGUAAGGGGAAAACUCUUGGCCAAACAUCUAGCCUAGCCCUUAAACCAGAACUGGCUCCAGCUUUGAGAGAGCCCAGGCCGCAUUCCUUCAUGCGCAGCGUUCUAGGCGCGUCAUGCCUGUUGUGAGCAGGGGCAAAAGUGGGUGGAACAAGAGGUGCAGCCUUUAGCUUUAUACCGUGACAGUCAGAGGUUUCUGCAUAUACCCACAGCUGACAUACAUCUCUCUGUCCUCCUCUAUCCAAGCAAGCAAGAGGCAUUAGAACAGUUUAAGGACAAAAAGCACUCGAGGAAGGAGCAGAGCAGGGCUGGGGAGGAGUGUGGACUGGGAGGAGUCCAAGGGUCAGACAGAAGGACCUGGAGGGCUACAUUUAGGCCCUCGGCCUGAGGUUCCACCUCCUGCUCUACAUCAGAGGGCUCCUUCUGGCUUAUCAGGCAGCCAUGCCAAUGGCAGGCAAUGGUGGUCAGCACCAGAAGCCUGGCUGGGAGAGCUGCUAUUUAAAUUUCCCACAAUGCCCCUGCCACAGCACUGCUGUAGGGUACUGUGGGCGAUUUAAAUGGCUCCUCCUUCACCCAGACGAUAUUUCAAAGGGGCCCUCACACUAAGGCUGGUGAUGGGCCCCACCAGGGCAAUAGGAUCCCAGCAGCAACUGCCUAAGGAACCCGGUGCUGGAACCUGGCCAGGCUCAAAUUCUCACCCUAGGACAACCAUGCCCAUCCUGGUGCCCUCCAGAAUGUUUUGGACCACAACUCACAUCAGCUCAGUCGUGCUGGCUAGGGCUGAUGAGAGUUGUUGUCCAAAAUAUUUGGAGGGUGCCAAGUAGGAGAGGUCUACCCUACGACAACAGCUACACGAGGAAGGCCUAUUGGUUAGUGGGCAGAGCAUUGGCUCUGCCUGCAGAAAGCCCAAGGUUCAGUCCCCGGCAUCUCCAUCUUUCAUCUCCAUCUUUCCAAUCUUGCAGGCUGGGAAAGAUUCCCUGUCUGAAAACCUGGAGAGUUGCUGCCAGUCAGUGUAGACAACACUGAGGUGGCCUGACUCAGUAUAAGGCAGCUUCCUAUCUUCCUAACAACCGGGAAUUUCGUAGUGCUUUUCAUUAACGUGAUGUGUGUGAGUGGGGGAGGGGAAGCCACACUGAAUCUGAGCCAGCCUCUCGUGCAACAGCACUUCAUUUAGCUGCUUAAUUGCUUUUAUUGUCCAUCUUGUUAAAUAAUAACCUAAUGGUUAUUUACAUUUUCAAAGCUUGCCUGGAGCCAUCAUCAAGAAGGACUAGUCAGCAGCUAAUUAUUUACACGACUAUUAAAUGUCUAUCUAUCGAUUAACUCCCAAAGAAAUGAGCUCCAAAUGGAAGCUGAUUUGCAGAAGACAGAUGGAUGGCUAUUGGAAUUGCCUUAAUCCACGAAAUGGAAAUGGACUGCCUUCAAGUCGAUCCCAAUUUAUGGCGACCUUAUGAACAGGAUUUUCAUGUGUUAGUCGCUUGGAGACCUUCAGGUAAGAAGUGACUGAAAUGAAAUGAACUGCCUUCAAGUUGAUUCCGACUUAUGGCGACUCUGUGAAUAGAGUUUUCAUGAAAUGUGGAAAACUGAGUCUAAGUUUGGAAAAAUGAGAAACUUGGAGAACCCCAAUUGACAGAUUUGCCCAUCCCUGCUUGAAAAUGGAAAUAGACUGCCUUCAAGUCGAUCUCGACUUAUGGCGACCCUGGGAAUAGGGUUUUCAUGGCAACGUGUGCUAGGCUUUGUUAGGGCUCAGCGACCACAUCUGUACUUCAAAGUCAGGGUAACUUCAAUCUUGUUCCAUAGGGAACUGGGAUCGACAACAGCUUCCCUGGUCAGGUGCAGAGCGCAUUCCUUCCUUUUACUACUUAAGAACCACAGCCAGUCUGCACGGAAGCGUCCCCAGCUCAGAGAGGGCGACGAACUGUCUUCCGCCGUGGCCGCCUCUCUUGACAUCAAACCAACAACGGUCUUGACGCAUUGCAAAAGAAGCGCGGCUAAUCUCGCCUGACAAAGGCGGGGGCGCGAGGGUUCUUUGACAGUGGCCAGCAGAGCUCAAAGCUGCGGUGGCAGCCGCUGGGAACGAAGCUCAGUACGGCACGAGGGAGGGGAGGAGAUCUCCCUGCCCAAUUGGAUGACGUCCGUAUGCAAAGCAGUUGGAAAGCCGCGGCCAAUUGGGAGGCAGCCUAGCUCGUCGUAUUUAUAGAUCCUAUUUAAAGAGCCCUCGGGAGACUUUCGCUCUCUUUCUCUUUGCGUUGCAGGGUGGUGUCCGGUGUUGCUCUUGCAACAGGCGCGCGCACACAGAGCGAGCUGUCGGAGGAACCUUUUCUGAUCUCUUUCGCUGCUUCUUGGGAGUGAAAUACAUUAUUAUGUGUGGUAUUCGAAGCUAGCUCAGAAGUUAAUGCACGCGACGACUUUAGGUUCAUUCGUUUCAAUGGGUCUUUAGUCUAAGUAGCCUUAGUUGAAUUUUGUUGUUGUUAUGUACCUUCAAGUUGAUUACGAUGUUAGACGACCCUAUGAAUCAGUGACCUCCAAAAGCAUCUGUCAUGAACCACCCUGUUCAGAUCUUGUAAAUUCAGUCUGUGGUUUCCAUUAUGGAAUCAAUCCAUCUCUUGUUCGGCCUUCCUCUUUUUCUGCUCCCUUCUGUUUUUCCCAGCAUUAUGGUCUUUUCUAGUGAAUCAUGUCUUCUCAUGAUGUCUCCAAAGUAUGAUAACCCCAGUUUCAUCAUUUUAGCUUCUAGUGACAGUUCUAGUUUAAUUUGUUCUAACACCCAAUUAUUUGUCUUUUUCGCAGUCCAUGGUAUGUGCAAAGCUCUCCAACACCACAUUUCAAAGGAGUUGAUUUUUCUCUUAUCUGCUUUUUUCACUGUCCAACUUUCACAUCCAUACAUAACCUUAGUUGAAUAACCCUAUAAUUUUAUAUGGUUGUAUUCAGCUAUGUUUUACUCAGAGCAGUCUCAUUGGAAUUAAUGGACCUAUGUUAGUGAUGUUUAUCCAUUUUGAUGUGUCUGUUUGGCUCUGAUUAAAACUUAAAUACAGCCCAUAAAUAUAAAAUACUAAUAUAAUAUCUUG